UUAAAAUUCUCUAUGCUUUCUCUCUAAGUUUCUGACUCCUGUAAUCAUCUGUUCAACGAUCAGAGACCGCUAGGGGAAUCCCUGCGACACGCCCUACGUUUCUGUCCGAUCAAUUUCUCAAACAGAGGAGAAUUGGGGACUCUGUCGGGUUGUGAAGUGUAUUUGGACUCUCUGUGAACUAUCUGUAUAGUAUCUCAGUUGAAGAGCUUGCAGCUAGCCCCGUGCAGGGAAGAGGAAGAAAUGCUGCACACUAGAGUUCUAUGGAAAUUCUAGUGUUUUUAGUUUAGACUUGUGUUUUCUCUUUUGAAAACUCUAGUGCAAGUUGUGUAUAUAAAUUGUAUAGCAGUUUAUCAAGUUUUUGUGGGAUGACUGUAACAUACUGUUUAUAUUUUGGGUUCUAUGCUUUGAACUAUCAGAUAUGCAAUGUUUUGUUUGAUGGUUUAGACUGUUAAA